GGCCCUGUAGCUCAGUUGGUUAGAGCGCUGCCCUGUCACGGCAGAGGUCGUGGGUUCGAGCCCCUUCAGGGUCG
rnacentral:tRNA from 1 species